rnacentral:lncRNA from 1 species
CCCACCCCACUCCCACCGCCCUCUCCGCGGCCGUCCCCACCCCUAUCUCCGCGACCCCCACUCCUCCUCGGCUGUUCCCCAACCCUGUCACUGUGCUCCCCUCCCUACUCCCGGCCCGUAGUGGAGGUGACUUUCCUGCGCAGCGCCGCUUCUGAGGGCGGAGAACCCACAGGGAGUGCGACCCCUUUGCACGCUGUGAGUGGGCAACUGUCCGAGGGACUCGAGCCGAUCGAAGGCUGGACGCCCUAUAGGGCUCUUGGCAGUCCACGAAAGACCUGGAGUCCGCCUCCCCAUUUCUCCGGUCGGUGAGUGGCAGGAGGAAAUCGCCAAACAUGUUUUCCCGCUUUGCCUCCCCAACUCGGAAACUUGCAACUUGCCGUGUCCUGGAGGUUGAGACAAUUUGGGGUCUCUUGGCUGCCGUCCAACAGAUUUAUCUCUGAGGGCAGUGUCCUUGGUGAGAGGUCCAAGUAGGUGUGGGCGACAUUGUCCUCCAUCUCAUGAGGGAGCAGCCCUGCACACUAGGGCCCAAAACUCUGCGAAGGAGCUUGGAAGUUCUUCAUCCGUUCCACUUGUUUUGCUACUCCACACACCCUUCUAGGACAUGUUGAUUGCCAACUGCUCUGUGCAGCUUUCCCAUAGCUGUCUGUUCCCGUGCAUUUCGGAGCACCAAGCAAAUACGAGCAGAGAGACCUGGAAAAAAAAAUGAUGAAGACAGUAUUAAUGAUAAAAUUAACAUGGCUGAGUGAAUUGUCAAUGCAAGUUCCUUUACUAACUCUUUGUUAAGUUUUGCUUUGUACUCCUUACAUCCUCUUUCUCUUAAGCCAUUGUUUUAAUUUCUUCUCGUUAUCAUUUUUAAAAGUAACAGAAAUACAGCUUUCUUCCUACCUUCACGAUUGACUUGGUGGAGGUUGGGUUGCAAAGAGGAAGCAGUAAGAAAAAAUAAUUAUUCUAUACAUUCACAAGUCCUUCAAGGCACAAAAUAAAAGUAAGAAAUAGAAAAUAUGUCCUUUCUCCUAAUAAAGGUCUUUAUAAUAAAAUUUAAAUGAAGUUUUGUGUUUCAUAACAGCUUCCCAAAUACUGUUGUAGAUACUAAAAUGUGCCUGUAUGUAUUUCCUUCCACAAUAAUAAUAGUAAUAAUAAACUUUUUUAGGUCCAAAUUAAACAUUUCUCAGCUUAAAUUUCUAUCCUCAAUCCAACAUUUAUUAUAUCAAAACUUGAUUUUUAAAAAUAAAACUUUCUUGGAAUUCAU